UCGGACUUCGGGACCGCAAUGAGCCGAAUUUACACCCCUUAGCGAGAACCGAUUGGAGGGCAAGUCUGGUGCCAGCAGCCGCGGUAAUUCCAGCUCCAAUAGCGUAUAUUAAAGUUGUUGCAGUUAAAAAGCUCGUAGUUGGAUUUCUGGGAGGGUGCUAAUGCCCGCCGUAGCGCGCGCGCAGCAGCGCCCUUCCAUCCUUCUGUUAACGCCUCUUGGCAUUCAUUUGCUGGUGGCGGGCUCAGAUAUUUUACCUUGAGAAAAUUAGAGUGUUUCAGGCAGGCUUGUGCCCGGAUACAUUAGCAUAGAAUAAUGGAAUAGGACUUUAGCCUCUUCUGUUGGUCUGAGGGGUUGAAGUAAUGAUUAAUAGGGAUAGUUGGGGGCAUUAGUACUUAACUGUCAGAGGUGAAAUUCUCGGAUUUGUUAAAGACUAACUUAUGCGAAAGCAUUUGCCAAGGAUGUUUUCAUUAAUCAAGAACGAAAGUUAGGGGAUCAAAGACGAUCAGAUACCGUCCUAGUCUUAACCAUAAACUAUGCCGACUCGGGAUCGGGGGCCAGAGUUAACUGCCUUCGGCACCGUAUGAGAAAUCAAAGUCUUUGGGUUCUGGGG
rnacentral:rRNA from 1 species